rnacentral:rRNA from 1 species
CGUGUAGGCGGCCGGGUAAGUUGGACGUGAAAGCUCCUGGCUCAACUAGGAGAGGUCGUUCAAAACUGCCUGGCUAGAGGGCGACAGAGGGAGGUGGAAUUCCCGGUGUAGUGGUGAAAUGCGUAGAUAUCGGGAGGAACACCAGUGGCGAAGGCGGCCUCCUGGGUCGCCCCUGACGCUCAGACGCGAAAGCUAGGGGAGCGAACG